AACGAACGUUGACGGCGUGGAUUAGGCAUGCAAGUCGAACGAGAAAGGUUUCGCAAGAGACCGAGUAAAGUGGCGGAAGGGUGAGUAAUGCAUAGAUAACUUACCCCUGAGAUGGGGAAUAACUACCCGAAAGGGUCGCUAAUACCCAAUAAGACCACGGGUCGGUAUGGCCUGUGUUUAAAGAUAGGGAUCCGCAAGGACCUGUCACUCAGGGAGAGGUUUAUGUCCUAUUAGCUAGUUGGUGAGGUAACGGCUCACCAAGGCGACGAUGGGUAGCCGACCUGAGAGGGUGACCGGCCACACUGGGACUGAGACACUGCCCAGACUCCUACGGGAGGCUGCAGUCGAGAAUCUUCCGCAAUGCGCGCAAGCGUGACGGAGCGACGCCGCGUGGGU
rnacentral:rRNA from 1 species